AGCUAAUAGAUACCCGGGUAGUCCACGCCCUAAACGAUGUCUACUAGUUGUUGGUGGAGUAAAAUCCAUGAGUAAACGCAGCUAAACGCGUGAAGUAGGCCGCCUGGGGAGUACGGUCGCAAGAUUAAAACUCAAAGGAAUUGACGGGGGCCCGCACAAGCGGUGGAUUAUGUGGAUUAAAUUCGAUGCAACGCGAAAAACCUUACCUGGCCUUGACAUGCCACUAACGAAGCAGAGAUGCAUUAGGUGCCCGUAAGGGAAAGUGGAUACAGGUGCUGCAUGGCUGUCGUCAGCUCGUGUCAUGAGAUGUUGGGUUAAGUCCCGCAACGAGCGCAACCCUUGCCAUUAAUUGCCAUCAUUUAGUUGGGCACUUUAAUGGGACUGCCGGUGACAAACCGGAGGAAGGUGGGGAUGACGUCAAGUCCUCAUGGCCCUUAUGGCCAGGGCUUCACACGUAAUACAAUGGUCGGUACAGAGAGUUGCCAACCCGCGAGGGGUAGCUAAUCUCAGAAAGCCGAUCGUAGUCCGGAUUGUUCU
rnacentral:rRNA from 1 species